CGUGACACAGGUGCUGCAUGGCUGUCGUCAGCUCGUGUCGUGGAGAUGUUGGGUUAAGUCCCGUAACGACGCGCAACCUUGUCCUUAGUUACCAGCACGUUAUGGUGGGGCACUCUAAGGAAGACUGCCGGUGACAAACCGGAGGAAGGUGGGGAGUGACGUCAAGUACAUCAUGGCCCUUACGGCCUGGGCUAUACACGUGCUACAAUGGUCGGUACAAAGGGUUGCCAAGCCGCGAGGUGGAGCUAAUCCCAUAAAACCGAUCGUAGUCCGGAUCGCAGUCUGCAACUCGACUGCGUGAAGUCGGAAUCGCUAGUAAUCGUGAAUCAGAAUGUCACGGUGAAUACGUUCCCGGGCCUU
rnacentral:rRNA from 1 species